rnacentral:lncRNA from 1 species
UUAUAUGGAAGACAUAGGGUCCUUUCUCUAGAAUUCUUUUGCCUGGGAACGCUAUACUUCUCUAAAUAACUUUCUGUCUCAGCUUUAGAUGAAGCCCUCGAAGGUUAAAAGCAAAAAAUACUGGUAGCAACUAUGUGCAGACUUUGAAACCAAGUAUGGUACUCAUUUAGGGCUUACUAAGGAUGUGAACAUACCCCUAUUUUUGUGAUGAUAUCCAGAAAGAAACUACAAAACAAGAGAUUUUGAUUCUGCAAUUGAAGAAGGCAAGAGAGAACAUCUUAGUAGAGGCCUGUAGCGCUGAAGUCUGCUUAGGAUUGCUUCACGUUUAUCCUAGAUGCUUCUGUGAUUUCUCCAGAAACAGUAAAAAAAAUCGUGUUACAGUUGGCAUAGCAAAUAAUCUAACUUCAACCCCACUACCUUCUGUGAAUCUGCUUUUGCUAUGAUUUCUCUACUGUAUUUGUUACCUCUGAUUACGCAUUUUUGAAACUUUAAAUGUCUCAAUAUUUCAAACAUGGUUCUAAAUUAAGCUACUAAAUCAUCUCCA